CAAAAUGUAGUUUAGUAUUAAACAUCUCGCUUACACCGAGAAAACUUCUGUUAAAAUCAGACCAUUUUGA
rnacentral:tRNA from 1 species